CCCCUGGUGGUCUAGCGGUUAAGAUUCAGAGCUCUCACCGCGGCCAUCCGGGUUCAUUUCCCGGUCAGGGAA
rnacentral:tRNA from 1 species